rnacentral:pre_miRNA from 1 species
AUGUUAACGCGUGAUAUGUUAACAUCGGUUUUCCAAAAAAUCGAUGUUAAUGUGUAUGCAUUAACCGAU